UACGAAGGGGGCUAGCGUUGCUCGGAAUCACUGGGCGUAAAGCGCACGUAGGCGGAUUGUUAAGUCAGGGGUGAAAUCCUGGAGCUCAACUCCAGAACUGCCUUUGAUACUGGCGACCUUGAGUUCGGGAGAGGUGAGUGGAACUGCGAGUGUAGAGGUGAAAUUCGUAGAUAUUCGCAAGAACACCAGUGGCGAAGGCGGCUCACUGGCCCGAUACUGACGCUGAGGUGCGAAAGCGUGGGGAGCAAACAGG
rnacentral:rRNA from 1 species